AUUGAACGCUGGCGGCAGGCUUAACACAUGCAAGUCGAACGAGUGGCGGACGGGUGAGUAAUGACUGGGAAACUGCCUGAUGGAGGGGGAUAACUACUGGAUACGGUAGCUAAUACCGCAUACCAUCAGAGGUGCCCAGAUGGGAUUAGCUUGUUGGUGGGGUAAUGGCUCACCAAGGCGACGAUCGCUAGCUGGUCUGAGAGGAUGACCAGCCACACUGGAACUUAGACACGGUCCAUACUCCUACGGGAGGCCGCAGUGGGGAAUAUUGCACAAUGGGCGCAAGCCUGAUACAGCCAUGCCGCGUGGAUGAAGAAGGCCUUCGGGUUGUAAAGUACUUUCAGCGGGGAGGCGUUACCCGCAGAAGAAGCACCGGCUAACUCCGUGCCAGCAGCCGCGGUAAUAC
rnacentral:rRNA from 1 species